rnacentral:tRNA from 1 species
GGACAAAUAGUUUAAAACUCAAAACAUAACACUGAAAAUGUUAAAAUGGCUAAGUCUUUUUCCA